CCGACGGUGAGGGAUGAAAGCUAGGGGAGCGAGCCGGACUAGAUACCCGGGUAGUCCUAGGCGUAAAUGAUGCGAGUUAAGUGUGGGGACAUCUACGAGAUGGCCCUGUGCUGUAGGGUAGCCGUUAAACUCGCCGCCUGGGGAGUACGGUCGCAAGGCUGAAACUUAAAGGAAUUGGCGGGGGAGCACCACAAGAGGUGGAGGCUGCGGUUCAAUUGGACUCAACGCCGGAAAACUCACCGGGAGC
rnacentral:rRNA from 1 species